rnacentral:rRNA from 1 species
GGCUAUGGCCAUGCUACCCUGAACAAGCUGAUACCGUCUGAUCUCGGAAGGUAAGCAGGGUCAGGCCUGGUUAGUACUUGGAUGUGAGACCGCCUAGAAAGACCAGAUGCUGUAGGCG